rnacentral:rRNA from 1 species
CAGGUAGUUGGCGGGGUAACGGCCCACCAAGCCUUCGAUCAGUAACUGGUGUGAGAGCACGACCAGUCACACGGGCACUGAGACACGGGCCCGACUCCUACGGGAGGCAGCAGUAAGGAAUAUUGGUCAAUGGACGCAAGUCUGAACCAGCCAUGCCGCGUGGAGGAUUAAGGCCCUCUGGGUUGUAAACUCCUUUUAUCUGGGAAGAAAUGCUUUGAUUCUUCAGAGCUUGACGGUACCAGAGGAAUAAGCACCGGCUAACUCCGUGCCAGCAGCCGCGGUAAUACGGAGGGUGCAAGCGUUAUCCGGAUUCACUGGGUUUAAAGGGUGCGUAGGCGGGUAAGUAAGUCCGUGGUGAAAUCUCUGAGCUUAACUCAGAAACUGCCGUGGAUACUAUUUGCCUUGAAUAUUGUGGAGGUGAGCGGAAUAUGUCAUGUAGCGGUGAAAUGCUUAGAUAUGACAUAGAACACCAAUUGCGAAGGCAGCUCACUACACAAUCAUUGACGCUGAGGCACGAAAGCGUGGGGAUCAAACAGGAUUAG